GGAAAUUUUACUUUCAAAAUUCAAUAGCAUAAAGUAACAAGCAAAUAAUAAUUGAUAAUAAUGUAGCGAACCAAACUUUUUUUAUUUUAUUUAAAUAUUUUAUUAAUUUUUUAUUUUAUAAAUAUUUAAAUGGUUGUUUUAUUUUAUUUAAUUGUUAAGUUGAAUAAUUGAUUUUAUUUUUAUUAUUUUGUGCAUGUGACUUGUGUGAUUGUUUGUGUGUGUGUGAGUGCAUGGAAAGUAAGCGUGCAUGAAUGAGGAUAAGAUUGAACCUAUACUAGAUCAUGGAAAUGGGAGGUUUCUUUGUUUAGAGAUUGCUAUCAAUAAAGGGAGAAGGUUCUAGAAAGCAUGUGUUCAUAUUAUGAAAAGAAAACAAAAGAGAAGGGAGAGAGAGAAGGUGGCGUGAGUGUGUGGUGAGAAAGCAAGAGUAUGAUUUCCUUAUUUAGCAAGGUUGACCACAUUUUUCUUUUAUUUUAUUUUAAGACAAAUUAAGGGAAAUAAAAAUUUGGAUUGUUUCCUUUUCCCUUAACUUAGGGUUCGACCACUAGGGCCUUUAAAAAGAAAAGUAAGAGCUUGAAAGCUCAUUUUCUUGGUGACUGCCAAAAACACAAGGAAGAUGAGAGAAAGGAAAAGAAAAUGUGAAGAGAAAGAGAGUGAGACUUUGGAACCCUAGAAGAGAAAAAGGACGGAAAAUCAAGAUCAUUGUGGUGCUAGCUAGAGUAUCAAGAGGCUUAACCCUAGUGCUAAGUUUUGUUCUACACCAUCAAGAGGUAGGCGUUAGGUUACUUGUGUGGCACGUAUGGUGACCUAGGAGUUUCCAUUGUCAUAAGUAUGUAUGAUGCGGGGAGCCAGUAGACGGGGAUGAUCCAGAAAUGGCAUAGAAUAAUUAUCACUCUAUCUUUUAUUUAUUUUCAAAUUCAGUGGGUUGUAUUUAUUUUCUACAAAACAGCAUAAAGGCAUUUUGUUUUGUUUUUAAACAUUUGAGCCCAUAUUACAUUAUUUUAAUAAGGCCCCACUGAACUUUCGGACUAUUAUUGACAUUUUUCUAUACAAGUAUCAAAAAUUGUAUUUUUGUAAAGU